rnacentral:ncRNA from 2 species
UUCAUACGACAGGGGAGCGCCGUGCCGCCGGGCAUACCGGAGGCAGAGGGCGCUGAGAGUGCGGACCACCGCAGACCCUCGAACCUGCUCCGGCUAAUACCGGCGAAGGGAGUCGAGUUCUCAGGCAG